UCAGGAUGACACGGCAUUUGAGAAUCAAACUGCAUUAUUUGCUUUGGCUGUUUCAGAUGUUGUGUUGAUCAAUAUGUCGUGUAAAGAUAUUGGGAGAGAACAAGGUGGGAGCAGGCCUCUUUUGAAAACCAUUUUCCAGGUCCUCAUGAAGUUGUUCGACCCUCGCAAGAAAACCAUGUUAUUUGU